UCCAAACCCCCCAAAAACUUUGUACUCUUUUCUUUUAAUCUCUAUUUGUUUAUUUGUUCUAAAAAAUAAAACAAGGUUCCAAAACGCUCUUACACCAGUUCAUAUCACAAAAUUGCAAACCCUUUAACACCAACACUUAUCACAAAAUUGCAAACCCAUUAACACCAACUCUUCUCGCCAUCUCCUCACGGACGAACUCCAUUCAAACGGACACACCAACACUUUACGAUGUGAAUCGCAGUGAGUUUGUUCGAGUUCAUCGAUUGAGGUCGCUUACCAGUAGAUUUGAUAUUUAGCUCGGUUGAUUGCGUCUGCAUCUCUCCAGGUACUCCCUCUCUCAUAAUUUUUUUUUAUUUAUUUUGCAAUUCUGAAUAGUUGAUUCUGAAUUGUAGUCCCAUAUUCCUUUGAUAUACACUUUAUGCCUGAGAUGCGUAAUACAAUUUUUGGGGUUUGUUUUUGGGGGUUUGUCCCAUUAUAAUUUUCGAAUUAAAUUUUUUAGUGUUCUCUUUGGUAUUUUUUCUUAAAAUCUAUUAUGGAUUGGCUUCUUCUUAUGCUGCAAGGAAGUAUUGAAAUUUUGGAGAUUUAAGCUUAUGUGUUUGCUUUCUUAAGAGGAUUUAUACGUUAUGCUUAAGAUGCGUAAUUGGUGGAAUUAGACACUUUGAAGAAUUCUAAUUGAUUAGUCAUUUUAUUGCUAUCUUUGUGUUUAAAGAAUGAUGUCGAUACGAUUAGGUUUAACCGUUAAUGGUUCCGUUAAAAGAAGCAAAUUAAAAAAAAAAAAAAAAAAAAACAUUUGUGGUUAUUGUGGCUAGCGCUGUUGUUUGAAUUUUGGAUCUUUUUUAUCUGUUAAGGUUUUUGGUUAUGGAUACCAGGUUUGGGUUGUCAUAUACAUUAGAAAAGCUUUUUAAGGAAGUUUU